rnacentral:rRNA from 1 species
AGUGAACGCUGGCGGUAGGCCUAACACAUGCAAGUCGAACGGCAGCACAGUAAGAGCUUUCUCUUACUGUUGGCGAGUGGCGGACGGGUGAGGAAUACAUCGGAAUCUACUUUUUCGUGGGUGAUAACGUAGGGAAACUUAUGCUAAUACCUCAUACUAUCUACGGGUGGAAGCAGGGGAGCUUCACACUUUUCGCGUCUCAAUUAGCCGAUGUCGGAUUAGCUAGUUGGCUUGGUAACGGCACACCAAGGCGACGAUCCGUAGCUGGGCUGAGAGGAUGAUCAGCCACACUGGAACUGAGACACGGUCCAGACUCCUACGGGAGGCAGCAGUGGGGAAUAUUGGACAAUGGGCGAAAGCCUGAUCCAGCCACGCCGCGUGGGUGAUGAAGGCCUUCGGGUUGUAAAGCCCUUUUGUUAGGAAAGAACAGCAGCAGGUUAAUCCGCCGAUGUUCUGACGGUACCCAAAGAGUAAGCCACGGCUAACUACGUG